rnacentral:tRNA from 1 species
GUUUUAAUAGUUUAAAAUAAAAUAAUGGUCUUGUAAAUCAUAGAUAGUCAUAGAACUUUAAAACU